rnacentral:rRNA from 1 species
CAGCCGCCACGGGAAAACGGAGGGAGCUAGCGUUGUUCGGAAACACUGGGCGCAAAGCGCGCGUAGGCGGCUAUUCAAGUCAGGGGUGAAAGCCCGGGGCUCAACCCCGGAACUGCCUUUGAAACUAGAUAGCUUGAAUCUUGGAGAGGCGAGUGGAAUUCCGAGUGUAGAGGUGAAAUUCGUAGAUAUUCGGAAGAACACCAGUGGCGAAGGCGACUCGCUGGACAAGUAUUGACGCUGAGGUGCGAAAGCGUGGGGAGCAAACAGGAUUAGAUACCCGGGUAGUCCCUGUCUCUUAUAC